rnacentral:rRNA from 1 species
AGAGUUUGAUCCUGGCUCAGAUUGAACGCUGGCGGCAUGCUUUACACAUGCAAGUCGAACGGCAGCACGGGGGCGAACCCUCGGUGGCGAGUGGCGGAACGGGUGGAGUAAUGCAUCGGAACGUAUCCUUGAGGUGGGGAGUAACNCNGACGAAAGUUAGUGCUAAUACCGCAUAAGCUCUGAGGAGGAAAGGACGGGGACCGGAAACGGCCUCGCGCUGAAGGAGCGGCCGAUGUCCGAUUAGCUAGUU